ACAUGUGGGUGUGGUCGUGGAAAGAACUUUUCAUUUACUUUUUAGGUAAUUACCUGGAUAUGAAAAACAUUCAUGAAAAGUUGAGCAUUUUUAAUUCUAAGAAAACUAAAACUUGAAUAGUUGUCUCCAACAGGAUCAACUUUUCGUCCCCUUCAACCUGACAAAGAACACCUUCUCUCCCUCUCCCCUCUGGCAUGUUUUAGUUAAAAAAAGCAGGGUUCUUGGCAUGAUUUCAGAUGUUUUCCAUGUGUUUCUGAAGAAAAGAGUGCGUCCAGACUUGUCUGAGUAGCUAUCUGAGUACAGGAUCAGUAAGGUACAUGAAGAAAGAGAGAGCAGCUGUCAUCGAACUUUGUGAAGACUGCUAUGUUUUGCUGUCUGUUUGUAGACUGUUCAAAGUCAGUGUUUAAAAUCUUAUUUAAAUCACAACAAAGAACUGCCUAGGUCACAGUUUCAUCUGACCAGACUAAUUUUUUCAGUAUUUGUCACUAUAAUAUUAAAACAUUUCCAUUACUUAAUUUUAAGCUUGUUAUGCAGUGUAAUAAUAAUGAACAUAAUCAAACGUCCAAAAACAUUCUGUACUAUAUUUGUAGGGAUAAGUACCUCUCUAUGCUACAAAUAUGCCAGCCUCUGGAUAUCAGAUUUAGCUGACUGUUACAGGUUAGCCAAAUUACACUACUGUGUGCACUGUUGACUUUAGAAUAGUGAUACUAAAACCCAGUGAGGAACAGAAAAUAUGGAAAGCUGUCUGGCCGCAUGUUACACAGCAUGAGCGCGUGGCUGCAAGUGGGGGUUAGGAAUUUCCAGAAGAGGAACAAGUGAGCCCGCAGGCAUAGUUUUUUCCAUUUGAUUUUAAGGCUUACCUGUCUGCGCGAAUCAACAGAGGAGCUCCAUUCUGAGAAAUAACACUUAAGGCUAACUUUGCUAUUUUGAAACAAGCUGUAGGAAGAAAUGGAUUGGUUGGUUUCAAUUUUAGUUUUUUAAAAUUUCACUUGUAACAGGUGUCAGGCCCUAGACUUUUUGUUUUUUGCCUAAGAGGAUUGUUAAAUAAUUUUUUAUCUUGUGUUUGAUUUAAAUGGUUUAUCCUGUAGAUUGAACAGACUGCAGUUGAGUUAGCUUUUGUCUUUUUGCAUCUUUUCAGCAGUGCUUGUAAAUGAACCCUAUAGAUCAUCAUUAGAAGUCAAUGAGAAUUGUACUGGGACGUUUUGUAGAUUUUUCUCAAGAAUUAAAUGUUCUUAGAUUUGUUAACAGAUGUGGAGAUGUUUGAUAAACAUAACAGGAACUCUAUCCAGAUUCCACUUUGCCACUUUGAUUUACAUUUAAGAGAUUAGAAAAAGAAAAUGUCCAUGAAAAAGGUAAAACUUGUUCAAACUUCCACCAAUGUGUGUAAAAUUAAAAGCUUAUAUUUAAGCUUGACACAGUGUUUCUAAUUUCAAAGAAAACUUACUACACAUCUUAAUUGCAUCUGAGUUGGCGAACAUAAACAUAACUGCCUACAUGACUCACCUGGUGUUGCUGCUCUGGGUCUGCAAACUCACCUGACUGACCAGCGCCUUUCCAGAUAUGAUAUACAAUACUAUCUAAUAAUAAUAGUAAUAAUAUUUAAGCUUUUCUUGAUAAAGAGCCCUCUUUUUCCUCCUGUGUACAACACAGAUGUUGUUUUUUGCCUGUACAUGUUUGUUUCUGGUUAGGACAACUACUUCUUCUACUGAAUUGCAACCACUUCCAAUGUAGCCUGUGCUGCCACCUCAUGGCGAUGCAACACAGCCUAGUUUAUUUGCUAUAUUUGAUUCCAUUUUUCUUAAAAAAAAAAAAAUUAAAAGCAGCAGCUUGAUCUUUGUAAAAAAA